UUGGCUGAAGUGGCCCACAUCUGUUUGCUGUCUUGGAAUUGGAGUAAUACUAAGAUUAUGAUCGUAUUCAAGUUAGUGUCUUAUUCUGACUAUUGCCUUAAUCUGUGUAAUAUCAGAAUAUUGGCGUCAGUGAAACUUUGGUAUGAAGGCCCUGAUGUGGCCUCACAAUUUUUUCGGUCCCCCCUCCCUUCCUCCUCCUUCACCUCCUCACCCUCUCUAUCUCUACCUCUGGUCAGGGUCGAUCAAUACUUCCCCCGUAGCUUAUCACGAAUGUGGAACUGGCUGUUUGUCCAAACCCUGCUCUGUCUACAUAAAGACAUGGGACGGGGACGCCACCAAACACAAACUGCAGCUGUGGGCGGACUACUGGACUUUUACACCGUUUGGCACGCAGAGGCCCGGGAGACCGAGACACGACUUGUUUUAGUGCGAGAGGGAAGGAGCAGAGAAAAGAGAGGAGCUGGGAGAAGCAGGAGGCCACCUGAUGGGUUUGAGUGACCGAACAUUUGAAAGACGAUCCACUUUAGAAACUCAAGGUUGUCCCGGGAACAAGCCUCUGCUGCGUCUCCACGGCAAAUGUUCUCCUCCAGAGCUGUGGAGUGUGACAAUGGUGUUUGUGUCCUGUGUAUCAAACGCCAUUCUCACACUAUAUAGCUACAGUGUGAAAAGGACCUCAGUUUGUUUCCCCGUAUCCUGUGCAAACUUUCAUCCGUGUUGCUUUUGUAGAUUUCAAACAGCCUCCAAAUCGGCGAAGCAUGUCAACGUGUCCACACGUGUCGUAUGGUGGCUGUAGCGUGGGACACGUUGCACCGAGAUGGAAAUAGACAGUGUGUUGAUGGGCCGUGCGUCUGAAUGUGACCCACUUUAUCUUUUAGUGUCUUUGGUGCUAAUUUGCCGCUGGACACCUUCAUUUAUAAACACAGAUUGGACAACUGCAGAUGUCCCAUUUAUUUUCAUGCUUCAUGACAUUUCACUCGCUGUCCUGGUUCUAGCUUUUACGACAUGUAAACAAGUCAUAGAAUUUUAACAGUUUUCAUUUUGUAUUUUCCUUAUUGCCCAAUUGUAAUAAUUAAAAUUGUUUUACUAAACA